rnacentral:rRNA from 1 species
UACGAAGGGGGCUAGCGUUGCUCGGAAUCACUGGGCGUAAAGCGCACGUAGGCGGAUCCUUAAGUCAGAGGUGAAAUCCCAAGGCUCAACCUUGGAACGGCCUUUGAUACUGGGGAUCUCGAGUCCGGAAGAGGUUGGUGGAACUGCGAGUGUAGAGGUGAAAUUCGUAGAUAUUCGCAAGAACACCAGUGGCGAAGGCGGCCAACUGGUCCGGCACUGACGCUGAGGUGCGAAAGCGUGGGGAGCAAACAGG